rnacentral:rRNA from 1 species
AAUAUUGGUCAAUGGAGGCAACUCUGAACCAGCUAAGUCGCGUGAAGGAUGACUGCCCNCCGGGUNGNAAACUUCUUUUUUAGGGNGAUAAAGUGAGCCACGUGUGGCUUUUUGCAUGUACCUUACGAAGAAGGAUCGGCUAACCCCGUGCCAGCAGACGCGGUAAUACGGAGGAUCCGAGCGUUAUCCGGAUUUAUUUGGUUUAAAGGGUGCGCAGGCGGAAUAUUAAGUCGGCGGUGAAAGUUUGCAGCUUAACGGUAAAAUUGCCGUUGAAACUGGUUUUCUUGAGUGUAUAUGAAGUAGGCGGAAUUUGUAGUGUAGCGGUGAAAUGCAUAGAUAUUACAAGGAACUCCGAUUGCGAAGGCAGCUUACUAAAAUACAACUGACGCUCAGGCACGAAGGCGUGGGUAUCAAACA